AGACCCGAAACCCGGUGAUCUAGCCAUGGGCAGGUUGAAGGUUGGGUAACACUAACUGGAGGACCGAACCGACUAAUGUUGAAAAAUUAGCGGAUGACCUGUGGCUGGGGGUGAAAGGCCAAUCAAACCGGGAGAUAGCUGGUUCUCCCCGAAAGCUAUUUAGGUAGCGCCUCGUGAAUUCAUCUCCGGGGGUAGAGCACUGUUUCGGCUAGGGGGCCAUCCCGGCUUACCAACCCGAUGCAAACUGCGAAUACCGGAGAAUGUUAUCACGGGAGACACACGGCGGGUGCUAACGUCCGUCGUGAAGAGGGAAACAACCCAGACCGCCAGCUAAGGUCCCAAAGUCAUGGUUAAGUGGGAAACGAUGUGGGAAGGCCCAGACAGCCAGGAUGUUGGCUUAGAAGCAGCCAUCAUUUAAAGAAAGCGUAAUAGCUCACUGGUCGAGUCGGCCUGCGCGGAAGAUGUAACGGGGCUAAACCAUGCACCGAAGCUGCGGCAGCGAACGUAUCACUUAAAGCGAUUCAGCGCGUUACGAUUGACGGAGCGAAGCGACGUCAAAGCGUAUACAAAGUCGAGUCGGUUUAAGGAUACGUUCGUUGGGUAGGGGAGCGUUCUGUAAGCCCGUGAAGGUGGCCUGUGAGGGUUGCUGGAGGUAUCAGAAGUGCGAAUGC
rnacentral:rRNA from 1 species